AACCUUUUGUAGUUCAUGAGCACGAUGAUUGGGUUUUCACAUGCACGUGUGAAAUGUGUCUCCCUCAAAACCUUGUUAUGAGGUUGGCACGUUACCUGUCUGACA